AAAAAAAAAAAAAAGAAAAGAAAACGCGCGCGCACGGGCGUAGUGUUUGUAUUUUUUGGUAUUUGCACUACUGUAAUAACCAGAUCGAUCGAAAGAGCUUUGUUAUGUUCGUUUUUUGCUUCUUUUUUUUUUUUUUAUCAUUUUUUUUUUUUUAUGAAUGGAUAAAUGGAUGGAUGAAGUGAGAUGCAGAAUGAGUUUCUUGUCUCUACGGAAUCGCUGGCUCAAAGACUACAAGUCAAGACUCCUUUUGAGUGCUUGCGUGCGGUGGUUCAUUUUCUCUUUUGGUAACGUUUUCUUUCUCUUGAAAAAAAAAACAAAAAAAAAACAA
rnacentral:ribozyme from 12 species